CAUACCUAAACGGCUGAACCAGCAACUUGGAGGAAUGUAUAGCUUAGCUAAUUAUAUUUAAUUAAAUAUAAUUUCGACUAUGUCAAAUAAAAUUCUAGCUAGUAUUUGAUUAUGACAUUUACUAGCUAAUAGUCUUGACCAAAUCUCGUGCCAGCAGUCGCGGUAAGACGUGGAAGACUAGUGUUAUUCAUCUUUAACAGGUUUAAAGGGUACCUAGACGGUAAUUUUUGCCAGGUAUUAUAGUUUGGUAGUUAACAAUUUUGUUAUUAAUAUUUUUACUAGAGGUUAAUGUAAUAAAUUAGUCACGAUUUUGUUAUUAGAUACCUUAUUUUACUAUAAUUUAGUAAAAAGAGAUGCUAAUCAAAGGUACUUUAUAGUUUUCUUUCUAUAUACAGGUACGGAUUUACUAGAGUUUAAUAUGUAGGAAGGUAGAAUUUAUGGUGAAGGGAUAAAAUAUUUAGAUACCAUAAGGACUGUUAAAGGCGAAAGCAACCUUAUAAGAAACCUUAAUUGGUUUACAUUUGUAUAUACAAUAGUAUGCUAAUAUAGUACCAUGUUAGUUUAUUAGGUAUAUAUAAACUGAUCUAUUUAUAAACUGACGUUAAGGGACGAAGGCCUGGGGAGCGAAAAGGAUUAGAUACCCUAAUAGUCCAGGCAGAAAAUGAUGAAUGUCAUAAGUUAGAGAAAUUUAAUUUAUAAAUGAAAGUGUAAGCAUUCCACCUUAAGAGUAAUGCGGCAAGGCAGGAACUGAAAUCAUUAGACCGUUUCUGAAACCAGUAGUGAAGUAUGUUAUUUAAUUCGAUAACCCACGAAAAACCUUACCACAACUUGAAUAUUUAUACAAGUGCUGCACGGCUGUCUUCAAUUAAUAUCGUGAGAGCAGGUUAAUUUCGCUAAUUAAUAAAAACCCUUACUUUAUUUAUUUAUAAAGUUAGAUUUUGCUAUAGGCAAUUUGGCUAAGGGGG
rnacentral:rRNA from 1 species